UUCUGACCUCGAAUCAGGUGGGACUACCCGCUGAACUUAAGCAUAUCAAUAAGCGGAGGAAAAGAAACUAACAAGGAUUCCCUUAGUAACUGCGAGUGAAGUGGGAUGAGCUCAAAUUUAAAAUCUGGUAGUCUCUGGCUGCCCGAGUUGUAAUCUAGAGAAGUGUUUUCUGUGCUGGACUGUGUUUAAGUUUCCUGGAUAUGGAACAUCAUAGAGGGUGAGAAUCCCGUCUUUGACACAGACUGCCAGUACUCUGUGAUGCACUCUCAACGAGUCGAGUUGUUUGGGAUUGCAGCUCAAAA
rnacentral:rRNA from 1 species